UUUAACAGGGAAACCGUCGAGUGGCAGACCGUGCCAUUCAUUUUCAGACUUUGGCUGAUGACAAUAAAUGAAACACUUAAUCCCUGUCCAACACAUUCCUGCACAGUCUCUCUGAUGAAAUUACAGAUCAAGUGUUAAUAGACUUACCCACAGACUUUGACUCACUGGCUUCACUAGCUAUCAAGAUAGAUAAUCGUCUCUUUGAAACAAAGGAAAAGAGGCGUUGAACCGAAAGGAGACCUCCAGUCAACUUGGGGCAGGCCUCUUCCUGGCCUCAGACCAAACGUCAUUCCAGUCCUGUGGUGGGCUCCUAUGAGCAAGGUACAGCGCCUACUGGGGGAAAGGUGGAACCAAUGCAGGUGGGCUUCACUUGACUUUCUCCUGAGGAGCGACAGCACCGCCUUAGGGAGGGAACCUGUAUCUACUAUGGUCUCCUAGGACAUUUCCUAGCAGUGUGGCCAGUAAAGGGCUGGACUCAUGAGUGAAAAGAGGUUUACUGAUGAGCCGAAUGUCCUCUUCUUCAACAAGUGUUAACCCAUGCUCGGUUUCUCCUUCGGUUUCCCUGGAGGUGGCUGUGGACUCUGGAGCUUCUGAAAGCUUCAUGCAUUAAGGCCUCACUUGCCAGCUCAAGCUGCAACUAGACCCUCUCUCAUCUGAACUUCCUCUCAUCCUUGUUUCCCUGUGGCUAACAAAAGCAUAACCCGUAUAUUUACUGGUCUACUGGCACCAUCCUGGAGGGGAGUAACUUAUGCCCCUCAUCUUGAGUCCUAUCCGCCUCUCCCACUGUUCUCCCCAAGCAUGUUGACUCCUCCUCAGAGUUCCCUGAUCUGUCUGGCACUCCCUCUGCUUACCUGAAUUUGAAGGUUUUCAACAAGGCCCGUGCUGCAUCCCUGCCACCUAAUAGACCAUACAACUGUGCCAUCAACCUCCUCCCUCGGGUUUCUCCUCCCAAAGGCCAACUCUACACCUCUUCUGCCUUUGAUUUGUUGCAAGGAGCCACCAUUUUAACUAAACUGGAUUUCCAAAAUGCAUAUUCUCUCGAUCGCAUUGGCCUUCAACAUCCCUUGUGGCCAUUAUGAAUACCUGGUGAUGCCUUUUGGAUGUACUAAUGCCCCAGCAGUCUUUGAGUCCCUAGUGAAUGACAGUCUUUGCGAAAAGCUUAACUCCUUUUUGUUUGUCUAUCUGGAUGAAAUUCAUAUUUAUUUUUCUAAGAAAUAUGAGGAGUAUGUGCAGCAUAUACAGCAGACUCUUCAGCAGCUGUUGGAGAACCUGCUGUUUGUCAAGACGGAGAAGUGUGAAUUUCACCAGCAUCAUCUUCUACUUGGGAUUCAUCGUGUCACCUGGAAAUAUCCAAAUGGGACCUGCCAUGGUUAGUGCUGUCGUUGCCUGGCUGAUACCCACUGACUGCAUGCAAUUACAGAGAUGUUUGGGGUUUCCUAAUUUCCACAGAAGCUUCAUUAGGAAUUAGAGUUUCAUAGCAGCCCCUUAACAUGCCCUCACAUCUCCUAGUUCUAAGUUUCUUUGGAACACUCAAGCUGAAGAGGCCUUCAAUACCUUGAAACACCAGUUCACCUCCUCACCCAUCCUCACCAUGCCAGACCUCAAGCUUCAGUUCAUCGUCAAGAAAGUUGUCUCCAGCAGAGAGGAACUACGAUGUAGGUAACUGGGAGUUGUUGGCUGUCAAGUUGGCACUGGAGGAAUGGAGACACUGGCUGGAGGGGGCUGGAUUGCCAUUCCUAGGGUGGACUGACCAUAAGAAUCUGGAGGGCAUGAAAACAGCCAGGAGGUUGAACUCAUGCUGAGCCAGUUAAAACCUGACGCCUCAGAACCUCCUCUUCAUCCCGGUCAAGCUCUGUCCAGGAGUGCUGCAGUGGGGUCACUCAUCCAGGCUCAGAUACCAUUCAGGGAAAGUUGUCUCCAGCAGAGAAGCAGCGGUUUUGGUGGCCUUCUUUAGUGGAAGAUGUGGGGAAAUUUGUCUCAGCCUAUCCUGUUUGUGCUCAGAAUAAGACUUCAUAAAAACAACCAUAUGGAUUGCGUCAUCCUCUCCUGGUGCCACGAUGACCCUGGUCCUACAUUCUGUAUUUUUGGACUUUGUCAUUGGUUUGCCCCCCUCUUGAGGUAAUGCUGUUAUUCUCAUAAUAGAUUGCUUUUCCAAGAUGGUACACUUUGUCCCUGUGCCCAAACUCCCUUCUGCUAAGGAGACAGCAGAGGUCAUGUUGUCUCAUGUUUUUCGUCUACAUGACCUACCCCAGGAUGUUGUCUCCAAUAGGGGUCCUCAGUUUGCUUCUUGGUUCUAGAAGAAGUAAACUGAUUGGUGCCACAGCUAGACUCUUCUCUGGGUUUCAUCUUCAGUCCAACGGCCAGACGGAGCAUUACAAACAGGAGCUGGAGACUGACCUCAAAUGUUUAGUUUCCCAGAAUUUCCCUGUGGAGUUGACAGUUGGUAUGGAUUGAACAUGCAAACAUUUCUCUUCCUGUUAACACCAUGGAUCUGUCUCCCUUUCAAUGUGUCUAUGGCUACCAACCACCAUCGUUUCUGGAGCAAGACAGGGAGGUUGCUGUACCAUCCUCUUGGGCCCUGGGACCUCACUUUGAGAAGGGCCCAGACAGCUCUUCUCCGAGCUUCCAAACACUACAAGAGCGAGAUCAACAAGCGCUACACUCCAGCAUUAUCAUGUGGGACAGAGGGUUUGGCUCUCCACACAGGCCCUGCCUCUCCGUUUGGAAAGUUAUGAGCUGGCGCCCAGGUUUGUUGAUCCUUUCCCCAUCUCAAAAAUCAUUAAUCCUGUGGCUGUUCAGUUACGUCUCCCCAGGACCAAGAGAGUCCACUUGACCUUCCACGUCUCCGAAACAAACCUUGCAUCUUUGUUCCCUCGCGUGUUCACUGUUUUCUAGUGUUUUUUUUCUUUUUCUUUUUUU